rnacentral:rRNA from 1 species
AUUGAACGCUGGCGGCAUGCUUUACACAUGCAAGUCGAACGGCAGCGCGGGCUUCGGCCUGGCGGCGAGUGGCGAACGGGUGAGUAAUGCAUCGGAACGUGCCCAGUAGUGGGGGAUAGCCCGGCGAAAGCCGGAUUAAUACCGCAUACGACCUGAGGGUGAAAGCGGGGGACGGAAAGGCCUCGCGCUAUUGGAGCGGCCGAUGUCGGAUUAGCUAGUUGGUGGGGUAAAGGCUUACCAAGGCGACGAUCCGUAGCUGGUCUGAGAGGACGACCAGCCACACUGGGACUGAGACACGGCCCAGACUCCUACGGGAGGCAGCAGUGGGGAAUUUUGGACAAUGGGGGCAACCCUGAUCCAGCCAUGCCGCGUGCGGGAAGAAGGCCUUCGGGUUGUAAACCGCUUUUGUUCGGGAAGAAAUCCUCUGGGCUAAUACCCCGGGGGGAUGACGGUACCGGAAGAAUAAGCACCGGCUAACUACGUG